AUUAUAACAGGUCUGUGAUGCCCUUAUAUGUCUUGGGCUGCACUCGCGUUACAAUGACGAAUUCAACGAGUUAUGUCCUUGCUCGAAGGAGUUGGGUAAUCUUUCGAAAAUUCGUCGUGCUGGGGAUUGAUCAUUGUAAUUAUUGGUCAUGAACCAGGAAUGCCUAGUAAUCGUACGUCAUUAACGUGCGAUGAUUACGUCCCUGCCCUUUGUACACACCGCCCGUCGCUCCUACCGAUGGAUGAUUAGGUGAGACGUUCGGAUGGAUGGUAGAUUUCAGUUUCGGCUGAAGCUACUGACCAGAAGUUCCUCAAACCUACAUUAUCUAGAGGAAGGAGAAGUCGUAACAAGGUCUCCGUAGGUGAACCUGCAAU
rnacentral:rRNA from 1 species